rnacentral:rRNA from 1 species
AGCUAAUAGAUACCCCGGUAGUCCACGCCCUAAACGAUGUCUACUAGUUGUUGGUGGAGUAAAAUCCAUGAGUAAACGCAGCUAAACGCGUGAAGUAGACCGCCUGGGGAGUACGGUCGCAAGAUUAAAACUCAAAGGAAUUGAUGGGGGCCCGCACAAGCGGUGGAUUAUGUGGAUUAAUUCGAUGCAACGCGAAAACCUUACCUGGCCUUGACAUGCCACUAACGAAGCAGAGAUGCAUUAGGUGCCCGUAAGGGAAAGUGGACACAGGUGCUGCAUGGCUGUCGUCAGCUCGUGUCGUGAGAUGUUGGG